UUUAGAUCCCCUUAUUAAAAGUAAAUCCUGCCCAGUGAAAUAUUUCAACGGCCGCGGUAUCCUAACCGUGCAAAGGUAGCAUAAUCAUUUGCCUUUUAAUGGAAGGCUUGUAUGAAAGGACAAACGUAAUUCUCUCUGUAUCAUUAUUAACCCUAAAAAUUAUACUUCAAGUGAAGAUACUUGAAUUUAAUUGAAAGACAAAAAGACCCUAUAGAGUUUUAGUAGUAAAAUUUUCCCCAAUUCACCAUCUACUUUAGUUGGGGCGACUAAGGAUUACUAAAAUCAUCCUAUUUAUUUUAGAAUUAUACUUCUUUAACAACGAUCCUAUUUAUUAGAAUUAUAAACAAAACUACCUUAGGGAUAACAGGCUUAUCUUUCUAUCAAGUUCAUAUUAACAGAAAGGUCUGGCACCUCGAUGUUGGCUUAGAGUAACCUAUUAAUGCAGCAGUUAACCAGGUUAGUUUGUUCAACUAUUAAUCCUCUACGUGAUCUG
rnacentral:rRNA from 1 species